GGGUUGUGGAGGUUAAAGAGCGAAAUGUAUUUGUCAUUUGGAGUAUUGCAAAUGUGGGUGGGAUUUAGGUGUGAGAGUCUGGACAGUUUCAAUAAGGCACUCUGGCACAAGCGGUUGUGGAGAAGUGUUAGUGAGGAUACUAGGAUGCAGAGAAAGAUGAGGAGAGAUACUACCAUGAGAACAAACAAUAGAGUGGGAUUUUGGUUAUGCAGAAGGAAUUUGGAAAAAAUGUUUAGAAAGAGAAGAGUUUAGAGAUUUGUAUGACUUAAGCUGAGCAUGACAGAGAAGGUUUUAAUUGUAUCUCUUUACGUUGAUGAUUGGUUUCUUAAUUUUUCAAGAUUGCUGCCUGCAC
rnacentral:lncRNA from 1 species